UUGAACGACACCAAAAGCUUGAAACUGAAGCAGCUAAAUGGAAUUCAGCCAUAAUCUUUACAUUGUUUAAACCUUUAAAACUUUUCCUACUGAGAUGAGGCAUCUUCAGGUUUACAUUUCUCUAAAAGACAGUAAAUUAGAAAAAAAUAAUUCUAAUCUUUGAAAUCUAGGAAUUCAUCAGCUCAGUUAACCAGCGUGUCUGGAUUGGUCUGACUAAGAGAAAAAACAACUGGAAAUGGGUAGAUGGAACAGCAGCUUCCACAACGUACUGGGGAAGACGCCAGCCUGAUAAUAGCGGAAAUGAAGAAGACUGUGUUGAGAUUACAGAUCGGUCUCCUGCAACGGAAAACUGGAAUGAUUUGAAAUGCAGUAAAAAAUUAAACUUUAUCUGUGAAAUAAUGUUUAACUAAAAUCAAAGUAUUAUUGUAUACUUUUGGACUAAGGCCUCAUCUGUUUUGCUCUCACACAUGUAAAAUAUCAAUAACGUUCUUCCACCUCUAAAUAAGUGCAUCUCUCUGCUGUAUGUUCAUGUUUAAAGAAACACCUGAUGUCAAUUACUUGUUGUGAUUGUGAUGUAAUAAAAAUACCAAAUUAAUUGUAAAA